rnacentral:lncRNA from 1 species
UGGAUGGGGAACAUACAAAGACUCGGCCCCUCUUCCCUCAAUUUAAGACAACUUCAAAGAACCAUCACAGCUCCAGAGCUCCCCAUGGGAUCAGCUAAGGGCUUUGUGCUACUGCAUUGCAGGCCAACUUCUCCUUCCGUGCAAUCCUGUUUCCUUCACUUCCCCACAGGAAUCAGUCCCAAGAGCACCACCCUUAAAAUUUUCUGUACCCCCAUUUACAUCUCAGAGUAUGUUUUCAGGAAACCCAACCUGAGAUCAACUGACAUACACAAAGAGGUGGAGUCACAUUGAUGGUGGGCUCCUCAGGACAGAUGCAGGAGCUCCUGCCAAAAAGCUGCCUGGAAUCAUUUCCAGAUUGCAUGAGGGCCAGUUCGUCCUCCUCUGGAACUCCAUGACACCCAUCACCAUGAUGACUUGAAAGCUGGACUUCGCUAGGACUAUCAUCCGGAGCACUUACACGAGGGCUUUUUGUGGACUGGGUCUUUUCACAGCAUGACAACUGGAUUCCAAGAAGGAUGAUUCAGAAAGUACAACAAGAGGGAGAAUUGUAAGAGAAACAGGUGGAAGGUAUUGCUUUGAUUUUCUGCCCUUGACAGUUCAUCAUUAGUUGAAGCAGUUACAAGCCCACCCAGAUUCAAGGGGAAGGGACAAGGCUUCCCUUUCCAGCGGGAGAAGGAGCAGAGUACUUGGGGCCAUGUUUUAAAUGUGCCGCACUUGCUAUCUAAAUUCUGCACAGCAAAAGUAAUAUUAACGCUUAUUCAAGUUUUCAGAAUAAAUGAUUGUCAACGAUGCUAUCUUUCCCUAAAUUAGUCUAGUCCAAGAAAACCUCACCUUCAGUAGUCCAGUCCUCUGGUUUAUCUGGGCCAUCAUUUACAUUCAUCAUUUUGUAUCAUCACUGAGGACUACAAAUAGCAUUUUAUUGGCAACCAUGAAAAUUAGGCCUGGCUUGUCAGAGCAUAACAUUCAAACGCUCCCUCAAAAUUAUUAAUAGGAUGGAAUCAAUUACAGAGUUGCCCUCUGACCUUAAUUCAGAUGAUCCUAGGACACCACCAAAGAGAAUUUUUUUUCCUGAAGCAAAAUGAAAAUCUCAGAAAAUUUUAACUGAUAAUGUGUUUGUAUUAGAAUUCCUAGUCUGAAAGAGGUUGCUCCAAAGAAAGUUGAGAUUAAUAAAAGUAUGCAUAGAAUAAGAGACAUAAGUAAAAACAGGCCUCUUUCUGAAGGGAUUAGGUUUGAUGCUUUUCAAGUUUUACAGCAAGAAUGACAAGCCUGGUAUGAAUUAGAAGGACUCAGGCUUAAUAUUUACUGUGGGAUAACGGGAGUGGUGUUAGGAUGUAAACAUGUCCGAAAAGUUAGCACAAGAGCUUGGGGAAAACUCUGCCUUCAAAAACAUGCCAAAGUUGCUUCUAAAAGUUAAGCUCAAGUCAAUGGCUGGAGCUGUUACAACCUGGAAGGACAGUGUUGAGAAGCCCUGCUCAUUUGGUUUGGUUUGAACAAAAAUUGAGCCUUUCAUUUAGAAAGAAAAAGAGAAUCACCAAAAGUGACAGUCCUUGUGAAAGGAAAAGAGUAGAUUCCAGGCUCCUGAAUGAUGUGAGAAGUAGCCACACAGCUGCCUCUUUUAGCAAAGAAUUCAUGACACCUUCCAAUGGUUUAUUUAUACAUAAAGUGUGCGUGAAGAACAGAAAGGUAGCUCCAUGCAGUGGUUGGAAAUGAGGCCCUGGAACAAAUCCUGGAUUUGAAUUCUAACUGCUGUUUACUAACUGUAUGACCUUGGGUAAAAUUAUUUUGUCAUGUCUCCUCUAAGAUUUAGUAUCCUCAUCUGUAAACGUAUAUAAAAACUUAACAUAGUGUAUAAUUCAUUAAAAAUAGACUCUAAAUUCUCAUUUUUAUCAUUAUGUUUAUUUUCUUACAGUUUCUAUUAGUUUCAUUUCAUAAUCCAUGCAUAAGAUAUAAAAUAACAAAAAUCACCCAUAAUCCUGCCAUCUAGAAAACCAUUUUUGUUGAUAUUUUAGUAUAUUUCAUUUAGUCUUUCUACAAUGCAUUUUCUCUAUCUGAGAUCUCACGAAGGAUAUACCUUUGCAUGCUAUAUAUUUCCCUUCUGAUCAUAGGAUCA